rnacentral:rRNA from 1 species
UAACACCGGCGGCUCGAGUGGUAACCGCUAUUAUUGGGUCUAAAGGGUCUGUAGCCGGCCGGAUAAGUCUUUUGGGAAAUCUGGCAGCUUAACUGUCAGGCUUUCAGAAGAUACUGUUUCGGCUCGAUGCCGGGAGAGGUGAGAGGUACUUCAGGGGUAGGGGUGAAAUCUUGUAAUCCUUGAAGGACCACCAGUGGCGAAGGCGUCUCACCAGAACGGUCCUGACGGCAAGGGACGAAAGCUAGGGGCACGAACCGGAUUAGAUACCCGGGUAGUCCUAGCCGUAAACGAUACUCGCUAGGUGUCGGCCACGGUGCGACCGUGGUCGGUGCCGUAGGGAAGCCGUGAAGCGAGCCACCUGGGAAGUACGGCCGCAAGGCUGAAACUUAAAUGAAUUGACGG